GUGUGUGUGAGAGAGAGAGAGAGAGAGAGAGAGAGACAGACAGACAGACAGACAGACACCAAGAUCCAGAGACAAAGACAGUGACAGAGAGAGAGUGUGUUAAAAUGCAGUUUGUGAUGCAGAGUGGGGUAUACUGUCUGGGGGAGAACAAAGACAAAAGCCCGACCUGCUCCAGAGUACUGUAUGUAUUUUGCAAAUUUUUAAUUCAGUUGUAAAUGAAUGUUUCUGGGAGAACUCUAUGUUCAGGAGAAUCAAAUGGUACAGUCCUCUUGGGAUUUAGAAUACAGGUGAGAGAUUCCUAGAUCAAAAGCUCCCUUAUAACAAACAUUUUGCAUUUGUGUGUGUGUGGUGGGGGGGCAGUCUGGAAUUGUGAGACUAGUGUACUGUGCCAUGUAGUUCUUUUAAACAAAGUUUGGCUCUAUGUUUGACUCCAUGUUUUGUUUGAACCAGUCUAGGUAAGAGGUUUAGUUAGGUUGAGGUGCUCAAGCUUUUUGCCACUGCAAGCCAGGAUAUAAAAAAGGGGAUUUCAGGACUUUGAAAGGCUGGUCGUGUAGAACUUUAUCAAAUUUACCGUAUUUUUCGCCCUAUAGGACGCACCGUCCUAUAAGGCGCACCUAGUUUUUUUGGGGGGAAAUAAAGGGGAAAAAAUUAUUUUCCCCCCAGGCGCAGGGCUGGAGCGGGGGAAGCCCGAGCUUCCCCCUACCCCAGCCCCCAAACAGGCAGCUCUCUGCAAUCAGUGGGAGCCCAGCGCUGGCUCCCGCUGCUUGCGGAGAGGUCCGCGAAGCCUGGACGCGCUGAGCUCAGCGCGGGCAGGCUUCAGCGUGCAGGCAACUCUCCGCAAGCAGCGGGAGCGCUCCCGCUGCUUGCGGAGAGGUCCGCGAAGCCUGGACGCGCUGAGCUCAGCGCGCGCAGGCUUCAGCAUGCAGGCAACUCUCCGCAAGCAGCGGGAGCGCUCCCGCUGCUUGCGGAGACGUCCGCGAAGCCUGGAGAGCGAGAGGGGUUGGUGCGCACCGACCCCUCUCGCUCUCCAGGCUUCAGCGAAAGCCUGCAUUCGCCCCAUAGGAUGCACACACAUUUCCCCUUCAUUUUUGGAGGGGGGAAAGUGUGUCCUAUAGGGCGAAAAAUACGGUACAUGGUCCUGUUGAUCUACUCCCUUAGACUCACUUUUGAUAAAGAUAACAAACAUUUUUGAUGUUCUUCCAGCAUGUACUUAGACUUACCAAAUGAAUUUUCAUCUGUAAAUUAGUAACAAUACAGCAAACACUGGGAUAUGUUUGGAUCUAGUUUGGACUAGAAGUUAAAUAUUCAAGUGCUUCUUUGUAUAUCAUCCAGGGUAGCUGGAAAACUAUGCAUGUACUAAGCUGAAUCUCAAACUGUGUGAGAAAAUAAAUGUUUUAUAAGAUAACCAGUAAUUUGCACUAUGGAAAAGAGACGAGUUACUAGGCAUCCUCAACCUCGGCCCUCCAGCUAUUUUGAGACUACAGUUCCCAUCAUUCCUGACCACUGGUCCUGCUAGCUAGGGAUCAUAGGAGUUGUAGGCCAAAAACAUCUGGAGGACCAAGGUUGAGGAACCCUGCCUAAGCUCAUACUUUUUGAGAUUCUCUUUAAUAAGAAUGUAAUGAGAAUAGGCAGUCUUCCUAUACAAGACAAGGCCUAUUUCAAUGAGCAGAACCUUUUGCAUAGCUCUCCUUCAUUCAGUAAGGCUACUUCCAGGGGAUAGUGCCCAUGUUAAUUAAGUAAUACCUGAAGUGUUAUUUUCCAGAAAAGCAGAAAAAAAGCUUAAAUAUUUUAUCAUAAAGUCAUUUGAUAUUUGUUUGCAGCCAUUGUUUCCUUUGUGAUUUUUAAAAACGCUCAUUCAACUUUUCAGAAUCCCUCCAAUUUCCUAGAGAAAGGCUGAGGACCAGUGGUCUUCUAUAUGUUGUUGGAUUCCAACUUUCAGCAGACUGAUGUGAUCUGAAGAGCCACAGCUUCCUCACUCCUGCCAUAGAGCCAGGGUGGGAUUAUAUCUGAUACUAAAAGGAACACAAAUGAAUGAGGAAGGUACCACACACAGAUGCAGACACACACACACACACACUGAAUAAUACAAAGGGGAAGGUUAUUAAUUAAUUAAUUAAUUAAUAAACUUACUGUCUUUAAUAUUU